GAUGAACGCUGGCGGCGUGCCUAAUACAUGCAAGUCGAGCGAACGGACGAGAAGCUUGCUUCUCUGAUGUUAGCGGCGGACGGGUGUGUAACACGUGGAUAACCUACCUAUAAGACUGGGAUAACUUCGGGAAACCGGAGCUAAUACCGGAUAAUAUUUUGAACCGCAUGGUUCAAAAGUGAAAGACGGUCUUGCUGUCACUUAUAGAUGGAUCCGCGCUGCAUUAGCUAGUUGGUAAGGUAACGGCUUACCAAGGCAACGAUGCAUAGCCGACCUGAGAGGGUGAUCGGCCACACUGGAACUGAGACACGGUCCAGACUCCUACGGGAGGCAGCAGUAGGGAAUCUUCCGCAAUGGGCGAGAGCCUGACGGAGCAACGCCGCGUGAGUGAUGAAGGUCUUCGGAUCGUAAAACUCUGUUAUUAGGGAAGAACAUAUGUGUAAGUAACUGCGCACAUCUUGACGGUACCUAAUCAGAAAGCCACGGCUAACUACGUGCCAGCAGCCGCGGUAAUACGUAGGUGGCAAGCGUUAUCCGGAAUUAUUGGGCGUAAAGCGCGCGUAGGCGGUUUUUUAAGUCUGAUGUGAAAGCCCACGGCUCAACCGUGGAGGGUCAUUGGAAACUGGAAAACUUGAGUGCAGAAGAGGAAAGUGGAAUUCCAUGUGUAGCGGUGAAAUGCGCAGAGAUAUGGAGGAACACCAGUGGCGAAGGCGACUUUCUGGUCUGUAACUGACGCUGAUGUGCGAAAGCGUGGGGAUCAAACAGGAUUAGAUACCCUGGUAGUCCACGCCGUAAACGAUGAGUGCUAAGUGUUAGGGGGUUUCCGCCCCUUAGUGCUGCAGCUAACGCAUUAAGCACUCCGCCUGGGGAGUACGACCGCAAGGUUGAAACUCAAAGGAAUUGACGGGGACCCGCACAAGCGGUGGAGCAUGUGGUUUAAUUCGAAGCAACGCGAAGAACCUUACCAAAUCUUGACAUCCUUUGACAACUCUAGAGAUAGAGCCUUCCCCUUCGGGGGACAAAGUGACAGGUGGUGCAUGGUUGUCGUCAGCUCGUGUCGUGAGAUGUUGGGUUAAGUCCCGCAACGAGCGCAACCCUUAAGCUUAGUUGCCAUCAUUAAGUUGGGCACUCUAAGUUGACUGCCGGUGACAAACCGGAGGAAGGUGGGGAUGACGUCAAAUCAUCAUGCCCCUUAUGAUUUGGGCUACACACGUGCUACAAUGGACAAUACAAAGGGCAGCGAAACCGCGAGGUCAAGCAAAUCCCAUAAAGUUGUUCUCAGUUCGGAUUGUAGUCUGCAACUCGACUACAUGAAGCUGGAAUCGCUAGUAAUCGUAGAUCAGCAUGCUACGGUGAAUACGUUCCCGGGUCU
rnacentral:rRNA from 1 species